UUGAAGGCUGGAAUGAAUGGUUGGACAAGAAAUAAGCUGUCUUAAAUAAAAAUAUUGAACUUAACUUUUAAGUGAAAAGGCUUAAAUUUUCUAAAGGGACGAUAAGACCCUAUAAAACUUUAUAUUUAAAAGUAAUUGCAAUUAUUAUUUAAAGAUUUUAUUUUUAAAUAUUUUAUUGGGGUGAUAAGGAUAAAAUAUAAGACAACUGUCUUUUAUUUUAACAAUAAUUUUUGAGUAAGUGAUCUUAGUAAAGGAAUAAAAGAUUAAGUUACUUUAGGGAUAACAGCGUAAUUUUCUUUGAGAGUUCUUAUCGACAAGAAAGUUUGCGACCUCGAUGUUGAAUUAAAAGUUCUUUAUAGAGUAGAGACUAUAUUAGAAGGUCUGUUCGACC
rnacentral:rRNA from 1 species